rnacentral:tRNA from 1 species
GGAAGGCAGGCGUGUCCGGUGACACGGCCGGGCUUCAAACCCGGUUGGGGGCGUCAGACGCUCCCGGGCAGGUUCGACUCCUGUUGCCUUCCGCCA